rnacentral:lncRNA from 1 species
AGAUCAAUUUUUCUAAUUUUCAGGCCCUGAACAGGAAAGUAGUUCCUGAAGUUAUCAGUUUCCAGGCUUAGAAAUUCCCUAUCUCCAAUCAUCUAGAACUCAAAAAGACUGAAUCUAUUUUGAGUUCUAAAUUAGCAUCUUUUCAAACACACACUUCCUGAUUCAGUGUUUCCCAAUCACGAUUAGAAUUAAACUGCAAAGCAUGUCAUGGGCUGGAAUUGAGAACUCCAUGUUGCUCUGUAUCGUAGGAUUCUAAAUAGGGAUAGAGUAAGCAGUACAAAGUGUACAUUUAGGAAAAGACAGGUAACAGGUAACAGCAUCACUAAUCCAAUUACUGUGCCUUCUAAAUGGAGACACUUGGACACUUGAACUCAUCUUUUUAUGACUAAUACUUUUUUAAAUUAAAAAUGUGAACAGGAAACUAUUAAAAAUCCUUUAUAUUUAGCUAACUUUGCUGUAGGCUAGGAAUACACCUUUUAAAAAAAUUAACAGGUUCGUUAUACACAUUCUUUUUUUCUUGGGUUAACAUUCCUCCAACUCCCCCAUUUAUUGUCUGUUAAUAUUCACUAGCCAACAGAGUAUUCUUGCAGCCUAAGAGUUCAUUAUUUAAAAAUAAAUGAAUAUGUCACCUUUGCUCUGCCUUGGUCUUAAAAGAUUUGUUUCUAGAGAAAAAUGUUUUGUGGUUAUGUUCUCAUUUGUUUCAUUUUUUUUUUUUUUUUUGAAAUUUAAGAGUACCCAGAAAAUAAGGCUUAGAGGUUAGAGCACUAGAAUGCAAAAAAGGAUUUAUUUUCUUAAGUUUGGGUAGAUAAGUCAGCUCUUUUAAAUGUUUUAGUCAUUUUUGCCUGAGUUCCUGGCUUCAAAGUUACUAGGAACAUUUUCUCUUGUGGGAGGGAGGGUUUUGAGGGAGAUGGGUGGGUAAAGAAGUGGGGAUGGGGUUAGGUAGGAGAAUAUUUCUGAAAAAGAACUUAUAAUGAAGCAACAAAUUCAUCCAUAUUUCUUAUUCAGUGCUGAAUACUACCUCAUGCAAAACAUUGGUGUGGCUGCAAAUAUCCCUCUGAAACCGACACAAUUAGAAAUCAAUUACCAUUGCAUCUUCAUUUUGGCUCAUUUAAUUCUCCCUUUUUUCCCUCUUUGAUUCAUUUCAUUUUAGUAGUCAAUUUUGCAUUGGGUAUUUAUUUCUGUUUGCAAGUUAAUAGACUAUUUGAUUAACACAAUAAAAAUUAAUUUUUUUAAAUUUAAGUUAUGAUGGCUGCCUGUAGAAUUUAGACUGUUUCUCGCCUGAUCCAUCCUGAUAGUAUGUUGUUAGCUUCCACCUCAAGGUCGCUUUCAAGUCAGAUUUUACAGUUUUUGUACAGGUGUAUUUCUUACUAUGCUCAGUGGGAAUUAAGGAGCUGAAAAGAUUGUGGCAAGUGGGAACAUUCAAUGUUAUGUGGCUGUUGAGUCAGAGAGGCCACUGGCUGCCAUUUACCAGCCAAGUUUAAAAUUGUUAGUGUAGAAGAGACAUUGAUUCUGCUAUUCUCUUGUGUGUUUUUUUCCUUGAAAUUUUUUUUUUCAGAAUUCAGUUUCAAGUGAUAGACCAAUCCUUUUUCCUUCUCAAAAUACUUUGUUCACAGUGGGCAGUCAGACAUUUUUUGGCUUCCAAGCCCUUUAUUGAGCAUGUUCAGAGAAUUCCCCUCAUUAAGAAAAUAUCUUUCUUUCCGCUCUCUCUUCGGUCGUCUGAUGUAUACAUCCUCCCAGAAGCACAAGUGCAUCCUAGGAGGGCUUUGUAAGCUGGUUUUAUAGGUAGGCUAUUCCUGCAAAUAGUUUUGUGCAAGGAUCCUAAAUUUCCCUUUGGCUCAUGUUUUAUUCCCUUUUUUUCAACAUGUCUAAUGAAAAGCCACAAAGGCCAGAGGGCCAAAUAUUCUUCAUUUUUCCCUCUUUAAACAUGCUGUCCAUUUAGAUAUGAGGGAGCAAUUUCAGUUCCUAAAUCUUAGGGAGUUCUAUUCCAUUUAUUCUGAUGUCCCUUUUGGGGAGGAGUUGAUGUUGAGGCAUGACUUGCUUUCCUAACAACUGCUUCAGGCAUGUCCUUGAGCAGGUGAACGUCUUCAUGCAAUGUAAAGGGUUUAAUUUGCAUUGAUUGAUUGCUUUUCCCCCAAUGUGGGAAUUUACUAUAUAUAAGGAAUAGGAAGAAGGGAGCCAUGCUCUGUAGACUCUCUUUUUUCUUUUCUCUAUACUGACUAGUCUAUGAGCCUGUUCAGAAUGAAACUUACCAUGCCUUCUCUCAAAGCCAGUAGAGUCAAUUAUGGUCCACAUUAUUGCCCAAAUAGGUAAUGGACCAAGGGACCCCUCAGUUCCUGAAGGGCAGUGGUUCUCAAAGUGUAACCCCUGGGGGACCAGUAUCACUAACACCACUUGGGAACUUGUUAGAAAUGGUAAUUAGCUGUCCUUACUCAGACCAACUGGAGCAGAAACUCUGGGGGAUCUAGCAAUCCAUAUGGAUCAGAUGCCCAGUAAAAGUUGAGGGCUUGUUAAAGCACAGAUUGAUGGGCCCCACACUUUGAGUUUCGGGUUCAAUAGGUCUAGGGUGGGGCCUGAGUCUUCGCCUACUUCAACAUUCCCAGUUGAUACUGAUGCAGCUGGUUCAGAGGCUGCACCUUGAGUAUCGCUACUCCAGUGUAAACCUGCCUAAGGUGCCCGUUUCAACUCAUUCAUCACCACGGUGUCCCACUGAUGACUAACCAAAAAUGUUAACAGAAUACAACUUAGAUCUCUGAAAAUUGGAAACCACCCAGAAUACCAUCCCAAUAGUGUUACCUCAGCAUACAACUGAAUGUUUGACAGGAAUUCAGUUGAACUUUUCAUAUAGUUCUGUUCUAUAAAUAAGCAAAACAGAAGUGGUCCAUUUGAAGCAGUAAUAACCAAGGGCAGUUUUGGGAGAGGCAGGGGUGUAGUGAUGGCUUGAUUGGGCAUCCAGGGUGGGAAAAAGAUUAUUCUUGUACAUAAUAGAAAUUCUGGCUGGAAUUCCAAUUCACUUAUGGGGAUCAUUUUGCUGUGGAAUGUUUCCCCAAAGCAUCCUGACAAGUCUGGUCUACUUGGCUCUUUACCUAGGGUAAUAAGACCCUAACUGACUUUGAAAAACUAGCAUAAAUGAGCUUAAGAAGUCCAUUGUAUACAGUCCUAGUGUUUGCCUUCUUGGUAAAAUUACAUUUAAGGAUGUCAUUUCAUGAGUCAAAUUGUAUCUGCUGACACUGAAGUGUAUUGAGAUGUUGUUCUUUAGUUUAAGUAUGUAACAAAGUAAUAUUCAAAGGGGAUGUGUGGGGGUGGGGCUGGGACCGGGUGGCUUUAUAUUGAUAAUGAAAUAUUCCAGAGCAAAACACAUUGUCCUAAUGAAGUUGUUGCAGCUCUCUUUGUUUUCUUGUGAAGCUGGAAUUGGCCUGUGGGUCACAUGUUGUGCAAAAGUGAAUUAAUUUCCAAUAGAACUCAUAUUGCUUUUGUCAAAUGAAUAAAAAUCAACCACCUUGUCUGAAAUAUAUAUUGUAAGGCGCUCUUGGUAAAGAACAACCCACGAAAACCUGAUCUUGAUUGGAAAGCACUGUAGGUCAUUAGGGAAAACUGAUAAUGCUGAUUGUUGCUCCAGCUGUGUUGGCAAUUAAAGAUGACCUUGUUACUAACUGCAAGUUGCUGUCAACCUUAGCAAACAAACCAGCUAACACCCUUACAGCACUGGUUAAGUAGAUUUUUACUGGCGUUCAGCUGAGGAAGGCUAGGAUACAGACUUUAAUGACCAAGAGCCAGACUAGCUUGAGCUAGAAAUUCAGCAACAAAUACCUCCUUGUGCUAUUUGAAUGCUAAGGUAUUAGUUGCAAAAGGCUUACGCCUUCGCUCCUCUAGUGAGGGGAAUGAGCCUGAUGACACUAUUACUGUUUACCUGUCAAACCAGGGUGGAAAUUUAGAGGGAUGCAAGUAUAGUACGUCUCAUUAAGCAGUCUCUGUUGCUGACUAUAUGAAGAUGAAAUUGUUGUAUAUGCUGAUCUGUAUGUUAUGUACAUUUUCACAGUGAUUGAGUCAUUGUAAAAAGAAAAAAAAAAGACAAAAAAGAAUAACCACUCUGUCUAUUUUAUCAAGAUGAUAAAGCAGCUUUAUUAAAUUAUUACAGUUAUGUUUUAAAUGGUGUUACCUGCCACAUUGUUUCCUUUUAUCUGGUGGUUGUUUUCCCCUUAAAUGUGUUUUCUCUGCUUCAAAAAUUUAAUGCAUUUUAGUAUUAAAGGCUAUUAUGGAAAAG